GCUAGUGAUCAUGAUUCAUGAGAGAGAGAGAGAGAGAGAGAGAGAGAGAGAGAGAGAGAGAGAGAGAGAGAGAGAGAAUUGGUAAUUUAGGAAGGGAAACAGCUUGCUCCCAUGGAGGAGUGAAGAUCAUGAGGUUAGCUUGUCCCCACUUCAAUAAUUGUAGAAUAAUAUGAUGGCUUGGAUUAGGGUUUUUUUUAGCUUGGCAAUCUUAAAACUUUCUUUUUGACUUUGCCAUUUCGAAUGACUCCGAUUGAAGAUUUUUUUUUUCCUUGAUUAUAUUAGAGGGCUUCGAAUUUGUGACUUAUUCUCGUUUCAACCAAUUUUUUUAUUGUGUUUGUCUUACAAUCCGACAUAGAGAUUGCAUUUUCUUGUUAGAGAUAAGCUAAUUCUAUGAUACAACGUGACAAUAACAAGAAAAUCAAAUGAUAACCUUCAAAAUUAGAAAAUUGGAGUCUACCAGAAACAUGAGAAAACUCCUUGAAACAUAACAACUAUAACAUCGUCUCAACUCUAGGCUUGCUAGUAAUCAACAUUCUCGUUUAAACACAAUAAAUGAUAAAUUUUGACAUAAAAAUCUCAUAGAUCUUUGCAAAGCUGUUUUAUUAGUGACAUUAUUCUCUUCAAAGCAGCACUAUUAUGAGCUCAAAUCAACGUUCGAUUCCUAAAUCUUCAAUGCUUGAACUUUGUUGUUAAUUUUAUGCUUUUCUAUUAUUUUUCAAGCGAGUUUCACCAUAUUUUCUACAUCACCCUAAGAACAUUAUUGAUUGUUAUUCCCAUGAAACAAAAUCACAUGAUUUGGAUUGGAACCAAAACGGAAAAUCUCCUUUGGCUGGCUUUGAUUAAAUUUUCAUUCUUUCUUUCUUUCUCUUUGCUUGCCCACAGCUGUAAAGUUCAAGGGACAAAGAAUUUCUUUGAAAGAAAGGAGAGGACCAUUGAGGACUGUGGGGCUCAGUCUUUGUAACACAGUACACAUGCAUGACACACAUAGCUAGCUCAAUGUCACAGCCAAGGGGCUUCCUUUGUUCUUUGUAGAAGAUGCAAACAAUUUCCAUUUCCAUAGGCUUACUGUCCAUUAAAACAUGCAAGUGCUUUUUAAUAAUUUAUAUGGCCACUACCAUCUUCAGCUCUUGCAUAAUUAAAUGACCCCUUCUGACUGAAGUACUCUCCCCAGAAAGAAAAAAAAAGAGGAAAAGCAUGAUCCUCAACUCUCAAUAAUAUCUCCAUCGAGUAUGAACUUUGACAUUUCAAUAAGACUCCGUGUAAGAACUAAUGAGUCCAGAAGAAUUAGUCUUGAUCCCUACAGUUAAAAUCUAAAAUAUUCAACAUAAUUUGUCUUAGUACGUAGACUUCUUAUCUUUAUUAUUGCUAGAGACAUCUCAAGUGUGAUGCAAGCACAGUUGAUCGAUGAAUGUUACAAGAGGGAGUGAAAAAGCAGAAUAUAUAAUUAAGAGAGAAAAUCGACACGCAAAAUAAAAAUAGGUAAUGUGGAAGUAAUGGCAGCCUGAUCCAGAUCCAGUGGUUGAACUUGGACAUCAACAUAAUCAUAAUUGUAUUCGGUUUUCACAAUUUUCUCAUUCCUUUACACAGUAUAUGUAUUAUGAUUAUAUGUUUGUAAAGGUCCUUAGAGGAUCAUCGCUAUAAUUCCAACUUGUUGAAAAAAGGGAAAUGUGGAAGUAUUAUCUUAGUUUUGAAGUAAUUAUUCAAAAUGUCUAUAUGUUAUAGUCAUAUUGACAUUUGUAAAUUCAGAUAUUGAAAAAUUAAUAUUCUUCAUGGAUUUAGUCUUCACAUUUUUAGAGAAGGUUGUGAGUUUAUAACUUUAUUGUAGACAUCGAAAUGUCGGUGAAAUAAAUGUUGACCAAUAGUUACAAUUUCAACGCUCACGUGUCACAUAAAUUUUAUACGUAGCGUGUGACUAAACGAAAAAUCAAAAUAAAUCGGAAAAUUCAUGAAAUAGAACACAUGUUAACACUUGGUAGAAACGAUUUAUUUCAUCUGCAUAUUAUAUUCAAAAUUAGGCAUUGGAAAAUUCUAUAAAUAGAAGCCAUUCAAUUCAUUUUAAGGAGAGAAGAGAAAGGAACCAAUUCAUAACCAAUUCACCUCACACCAAAACCUUGAAACUUUGAAACUCCAAAGCUCCCAAGCAAAUCCCGAAGGAUCAAGAAAGCUCUCUUCGUUCUUCGUCAACCCAACCUUCAAGAUCAAGCCCUAACGGCCCUUUGAAGGAACUUCUACCAAUUCAAGAUCAAGCCCCGACGGCCCUUGAAGAAAGUGUUCAUCGUUCAU
rnacentral:lncRNA from 1 species